rnacentral:lncRNA from 1 species
GUAAAGGGGAAAGGCCUCGGUUGUGCGUAUCUGUGUUCCCUAUGCUAUCUUCUGGGUGUUUCUGUGCAGACAGCUAUAUUCACAAUCACAAAGAGGAGUUUAAAGACCCCUGGUUUCUUUUGCUCACUCUUGGCUGACAACUUGAAGGGAUGAGUCAGGCCCUUUGGGCUUCAGUGUUUUAAUUAGCAGUCGUAUAGUUAUCCUUGCUACACUUAAGUUGCAAAAACAGGUACUUAGUAAUGACCACUAACAGUCGGCACAGGGCCAGAUGGUAAAUCCCUGAGACUUGGUGGGCUAUGUCAAGUGUAAUGGUCACAUGGCUCUGCUGUGAGCAGAACAGUCAGAGUUGUUUACAAACCCUGGAUAACUCACCAAGGACAUCACACAGAAAGAGUCGGGUCCUGAUUCUCAUGAUGAGCAGAGGACUUUAGGACAUCAAUUUUAAAGUGCAGGGUCAUUACCAGUAGUAGGACUUGUGUAGCUAUUUUACUGUUAUUACUUCAAAUAUUUAUUAGUUAUUAAUUGUAGUUGUAACAUAAAGAUACUAACAAAUUUUGAUAGAAUUUAAUCUCUAUAUUAAAAAAAAAACCUUUUAUUAUCUUUGUUUCAAAUAAAAAUUUAAAUUAGCCUAAUGUAAAUAAGUUUUAAAAAUACCAAAUUUGGGGUUUAAACUAGAUUCUUGCUACUUAUCAAGCAUAAUUGUUCAGAGGCAUUUAUUGUUACUAACAUGGGCACUUGAUAUUAGCUUGCCGAAGAGUGCUGUUGUCUAUCAUGUUAGUGAGUUUUAAUGAUGCUUUUUAUCAAUAUAAUUUUUUUCUGAUUUCUUCUUUUUUCUUUUUUCUGUUUUAUGCUGUGCAUAAAAGGGGUUGUUGAAAGAGUAGCUGUUUCAGACAUCUUACUUCAAGGGCAUGAUGCAGGUUAACCUUGGUUGAUAUUGUAACAGUCCAGUACUGUGAUUAGUCUCUUUUCAGUGAGGUUUUCCUGAAGACUGUUGAGAAACUCAAAGGGGAGUUCACUGGCUUCUUCAUAUUGACAUUCCUCAGCAUAUACAGUGCUCUAAUUCACCUAAGAUUUAUUUUACAUACUGGCUUUCUUGCGUGAAACCAGAAUGUAAAUUUUAACUAUUACAUCAUUUUACUAGUAUUUUUCUAGUACCUUUAGUAAACAUCCUUAAGAAUAACUGUAUCCACCACUUCAACUAUUAUAUCUCAAAGAAUAAGCGAUGAAUGAGACUUGUACAAUAAGGGUGCGUUGAAUAGUUUCCACUGUGCUCAUGCUCAGGACUCUCAGACACACUGUCUAGCUCUUGUCUGGACUGGCCAGCGCUGGUAUGUCCCUCGGCCCUGACUGGCUAGGGACAGAUACGGUGAUUUGUGGCUUUGUAUUGCCCUCACCCCAAGUUCCAUGAAGAGGAAGAUUUCCCCUCCCCUGUACUACAGUAAAUAACUCCGAAUGUCCAGCUGGUAUUGAUCACAUAGCAUUAGCAUUGCUUCCUUUGAUAGCAGAUCACUGCAGAGAUAAAAAGUUAGCUACUACGAUAGAACAUCUCAAUUUUCUGUGAGGAUGAAAUGUUUAUUGAAGAUUUGUCAUAGAUUUACAAAAUUGCUACUACUUUGAAUAUUUUAAAGCCUUUUAGUAUGGAUUAUGAUGCCUAGUAAAAUUUUGAUAUUAAUUUUUAAAAAGUAAUUUCAUUUUAAUAAUUAUAUAUUUAGCUUAUUAUCUUAAUCUCCAAAUAAACACUAAAGAAAGCUUUGGUUUUUUAAUAUGUCUUUGAAUGAUAAAUCUGAAAAUAUUAAUGCCACAUGGACAUUUUUCUAUUUCUGAAUGCUAGAAGUUAGUCUGUGGUUCUAUAGUUUUCAUCAAGUUGUCUAAAACCAGAUGACGCUUGACAGCAACAAAGAUGCCGGUGGUGGAACACAGGUCUAAACCUAACUUUUUUGUUGACGCUUCAUCUUUCUUUUUUUCCCCUUCUCUAUUACCUGCAGCAGACUGCUAUGCCAGCAAUCUCUGUUCUAGAUUUGGUAUGUUCUUGUUUCUUUCCCUUUGGUACUUUUUUUUUGUCUUGAUUUUCUUUCCUCCUUUGGUGAUGGCUGUUCUGUGUUCUCAGUAGUCAGUUCUCCCUAGCACCUCCUGGGUCAGGAGGUGAGCUCCGUGGUUAGAAGCAUGCCUCUGAAUGUUACUAGACUAGUUACUCUACUUCCUUGUUAACCUUAAGUGUCACUGUUUGUUUAUGGGUUUGACUUUCCUACAGUGUUAGUCAUAAUCUGAUUCUAUCUCAUAGUUAGUCUCAAGUAGGUGAACAAAUGAAAUAGGUUUUGCAUUGGGUAAUUAUUUCUUGUUGUAUUAGAAAUAGAUUUUCACUAUUUCUAAUAAGUAUGUUCACUGUGAACUCAGUUGAAAGGGCAUUGCCACUACUCCCAGACUUAAAAUGUAAUGAAGAUGUCACUGUGAAUGGUAAAGUAAGAGGUUUCCUGUGAACCAAAAUCCUAUUUUUCUUAAUACCACAUGGAUUAUCAAAAUAUUUGAUUGAUCAUUUAUACACACACACACACACACACACACUUAUCCGAGGUUAAUGUCUAGAUG